rnacentral:rRNA from 1 species
UACGUAGGCAGCAAGCGUUGUUCGGAAUUACUGGGCGUAAAGGGCUCGUAGGUGGCCAACUAAGUCAGACGUGAAAUCCCUCGGCUUAACCGGGGAACUGCGUCUGAUACUGGAUGGCUUGAGUUUGGGAGAGGGAUGCGGAAUUCCAGGUGUAGCGGUGAAAUGCGUAGAUAUCUGGAGGAACACCGGUGGCGAAGGCGGCAUCCUGGACCAACACUGACACUGAGGAGCGAAAGCCAGGGGAGCAAACGGG